rnacentral:rRNA from 1 species
ACACUCCUACGGGAGGCAGCAGUGGGGAAUAUUGCACAAUGGGCGCAAGCCUGAUGCAGCCAUGCCGCGUGUAUGAAGAAGGCCUUCGGGUUGUAAAGUACUUUCAGCGGGGAGGAAGGCGAUAAGGUUAAUAACCUUGUUGAUUGACGUUACCCGCAGAAGAAGCACCGGCUAACUCCGUGCCAGCAGCCGCGGUAAUACGGAGGGUGCAAGCGUUAAUCGGAAUUACUGGGCGUAAAGCGCCCGCAGGCGGUCUGUCAAGUCGGAUGUGAAAUCCCCGGGCUCAACCUGGGAACUGCAUUCGAAACUGGCAGGCUAGAGUCUUGUAGAGGGGGGUAGAAUUCCAGGUGUAGCGGUGAAAUGCGUAGAGAUCUGGAGGAAUACCGGUGGCGAAGGCGGCCCCCUGGACAAAGACUGACGCUCAGAUGCGAAAGCGUGGGGAGCAAACAGGAUUAGAAACCCUGGUAGUCCCAUG